rnacentral:sRNA from 1 species
GCAGGGCAUGGUGGCACAUGCCUGUAAUCCCAACGACUCAGGAGGCUGAGGCAGGAGGAUUGCGAGUUCAAAGCCAGCGUCAGCAACUUAGAGAGGCCCUAAGUAACUCAGUGAGACCCUGUCUCUA